GAUGAACGCUGGCGGCGUGCUUAACACAUGCAAGUCGAACGAAGCACUUUAUUUGAUUUCCUUCGGGACUGAUUAUUUUGUGACUGAGUGGCGGACGGGUGAGUAACGCGUGGGUAACCUGCCUUGUACAGGGGGAUAACAGUUGGAAACGGCUGCUAAUACCGCAUAAGCGCACAGCAUCGCAUGAUGCAGUGUGAAAAACUCCGGUGGUAUAAGAUGGACCCGCGUUGGAUUAGCUAGUUGGUGAGGUAACGGCCCACCAAGGCGACGAUCCAUAGCCGACCUGAGAGGGUGACCGGCCACAUUGGGACUGAGACACGGCCCAAACUCCUACGGGAGGCAGCAGUGGGGAAUAUUGCACAAUGGGCGAAAGCCUGAUGCAGCGACGCCGCGUGAGCGAAGAAGUAUUUCGGUAUGUAAAGCUCUAUCAGCAGGGAAGAUAAUGACGGUACCUGACUAAGAAGCACCGGCUAAAUACGUGC
rnacentral:rRNA from 1 species